CCUACGGGUGGCUGCAGUGGGGCAUCUUGCACAAUGGGGGAAACCCUGAUGCAGCGACGCCGCGUGAGUGAAGAAGUAAUUCGUUACGUAAAGCUCUAUCAGCCGGGAAGAAAAUGACGGUACCUGAGUAAGAAGCCCCGGCUAACUACGUGCCAGCAGCCGCGGUAAUACGUAGGGGGCAAGCGUUAGCCGGAUUUACUGGGUGUAAAGGGAGCGUAGACGGUUCGCCAAGUCUGGAGUGAAAUGCACCAGCGUAACUGCGGAACUGCUUUUGAAACUGGCGAACUAGAGGGCGGGAGGGGUAAGCGGAAUUCCUAGUGUAGCGGUGAAAGGCGUAGAUAUUAGGAGGAACACCGGUGGCGAAGGCGGCUUACUGGACAGUAACUGACGUUGAGGCUCGAAAGCGUGGGGAGCAAACAGGAUUAGAUACCCGGGUAGUC
rnacentral:rRNA from 1 species